rnacentral:rRNA from 1 species
GGUAUCGGAAGUGAGAAUGCUGACAUGAGUAACGACAAACAGUGUGAGAGACACUGUCGCCGAAAGUCCAAGGGUUCCUGCGUAAAGCUAAUCUGCGCAGGGUUAGCCGGCCCCUAAGUCGAGGCAGAAAUGCGUAGACGAUGGGAAUCACGUUAAUAUUCGUGAGCUUGGAGGUAGUGACGGAUCACGUGUGUUGUCAGAUCUUAUUGGAUUGAUCUGGCUGCGAAGUGGUUCCAGGAAAUAGCUCCUCCUUAUAAACCGUACCCGAAACCGACACUGGUGGACUGGUAGAGUAUACCAAGGCGCUUGAGAGAACUAUGCUGAAGGAACUCGGCAAAUUGCACGCGUAACUUCGGAAGAAGCGUGACCCUUUUCUACGCAAGUGGAGGAGGGUGGCACAGACCAGGGGGUAGCGACUGUUUAUCAAAAACACAGGGCUCUGCGAAGUCGCAAGACGACGUAUAGGGUCUGACGCCUGCCCGGUGCUGGAAGGUUAAGAGGAGGGGUGCAAGCUCUGAAUCGAAGCCCCAGUAAACGGCGGCCGUAACUAUAACGGUCCUAAGGUAGCGAAAUUCCUUGUCGGGUAAGUUCCGACCUGCACGAAUGGCGUAACGACUUCCCCACUGUCUCCAACAUAGACUCAGCGAAAUUGAAUUCCCCGUGAAGAUGCGGGGUUCCUGCGGUCAGACGGAAAGACCCCAUGCACCUUUACUAUAGCUUUACGCUGGCAUUUGUGUCGGCAUGUGCAGGAUAGGUGGUAGGCUUUGAAGCAGGGACGCUAGUUUCUGUGGAGCCGCAAGAUGAGAUACCACCCUUAUCGUCAUAGAUGUCUAACCGCGGCAUAACAGUGUCCGGGACAGCGUAUGGUGGGUAGUUUGACUGGGGCGGUCGCCUCCCAAAGAGUAACGGAGGCGCGCGAUGGUGGGCUCAGACCGGUCGGAAAUCGGUCGCUGAGUGCAAUGGCAUAAGCCUGCCUGACUGCGAGACUGACAAGUCGAGCAGAGACGAAAGUCGGCCAUAGUGAUCCGGUGGUCCCGCGUGGAAGGGCCAUCGCUCAACGAAUAAAAGGUACGCUGGGGAUAACAGGCUGAUAAUGCCCAAGAGUCCAUAUCGACGGCAUUGUUUGGCACCUCGAUGUCGGCUCAUCACAUCCUGGGGCUGGAGCAGGUCCCAAGGGUAUGGCUGUUCGCCAUUUAAAGUGGUACGUGAGCUGGGUUUAGAACGUCGUGAGACAGUUCGGUCCCUAUCUGCCGUGGGUGUAGGAAUAUUGAGAAGAGCUGACCCUAGUACGAGAGGACCGGGUUGGACGAACCUCUGGUGGACCUGUUGUGGCGCCAGCCGCAUUGCAGGGUAGCUAAGUUCGGACGGGAUAACUGCUGAAAGCAUCUAAGCAGGAAGCCUCCUUCAAAACUAGUAUUCCCUUGAGAGCCGUGGAAGACCACCACGUCGAUAGGCCGGGUGUGGAAGCGUAGCAAUAUGUGAAGCUUACCGGUACUAAUAGCUCGAUUGGCUUGAUCGU